rnacentral:lncRNA from 10 species
UGUGGAGAGAUGUCCUAUGGAGCCCACCUUUGCCACCCUAAAUAAAUAUGUCAACAUAUAGGAAAGUAAAACUGAGAGAAAAAGACAUAUUUCUGAAAUGGUUAUUUGAACACUAGCUCUAUCGUGCACAAUUCUUUUAUGAGAAUGAACAAAUUUCUCUUUAGGCUUAAACCAACUUGAGUUAGUUUGCUGUUUCUUGCAUCCCCAGAUUUUAUUCUGUUGCUGAGGAUGGAGGAGAAUGAGGGCUAACAUGUACUGAGUCCUCACUGUGUGCCAAACACUGUGCAGAGUGCAGCCACUCUGAUAAUCCCCAUUUUAUAUAUAAGGACAAGGGCUUACAGUAAAGACAUAAGAUCAGUUAGUGAUUAAUAAGGUUGAGAUGUGAGUUGAAGUUGAUGGGGCUUAACUACUAUACUGCCUGCCAUUUUUAGUUGUCUAUGGAGAAAGGUUAGGAGCUGGAACAUAGUCCCCUUUGCCUGCUUUGUGAGGAGAAGAUGGUGCAAAUGACAAAGCAGGACAUUUGCACUUGCAGAAGUGUUUGAUGAAGGUGGGUCAGCCACAUGGUCAACCUUAAUCUCAUCUAUAGAAAUGAAUAGCUUGAAUAGCUGUAGUAUCCAUGACUGGUGAAUGCUCUUAUCUUUGACAGUAUUGCUUGAAAUCUGGAAGAAAACUGGACUAGCAGGGAUUUAACUAGACCUGAUCUUCCAAGAGGUUCACAUUUUUGACAAUAUUGCUGACCUCUUCAGCAAGACACAACAUGGCUCAGAACUCA